rnacentral:rRNA from 1 species
CGUAGGUAACCUGCCCAUGUGUCCGGGAUAACUGCUGGAAACGGUAGCUAAAACCGGAUAGGUAUACAGAGCGCAUGCUCAGUACAUUAAAGCGCCCAUCAAGGCGUGAACAUGGAUGGACCUGCGGCGCAUUAGCUAGUUGGUGAGGUAACGGCUCACCAAGGCGAUGAUGCGUAGCCGGCCUGAGAGGGUAAACGGCCACAUUGGGACUGAGACACGGCCCAA